rnacentral:rRNA from 1 species
UUGACACAGGGAGGUAGUGACAAGAAAUAACAAUACGGGGCUUGAUGUCUUGUAAUUGGAAUGAUGGGAAUUUAAACCUCUUCCAGAGUAUCAAUUGGAGGGCAAGUCUGGUGCCAGCAGCCGCGGUAAUUCCAGCUCCAAUAGCGUAUAUUAAAAUUGUUGCAGUUAAAAAGCUCGUAGUUGAAUUUCUGCUGCAUUGCUUUUGCUCCUUUACGAGUCUUUGCAUUGUGGCUUAUUUCGGACUUUGUUUUACAAUGUCCGGAUGUUUACUUUGAGAAAAUUAGAGUGCUCAAAGCAGGCUUUCGCCUUGAAUAGUUUAGCAUGGAAUAAUAAAGUAGGACUUUGGUUCUAUUUUGUUGGUUUUAGGUACCAAAGUAAUGGUUAAUAGGAACAGUUGGGGGCAUUCGUAUUUAACUGUCAGAGGUGAAAUUCUUAGA